rnacentral:rRNA from 1 species
CUAGCGACUUCAGAGUUUGAUCCUGGCUCAGGACGAACGCUGGCGGCGUGCCUAACACAUGCAAGUCGAACGGAACUAAGUUUUCGGAUUUAGUUUAGUGGCGAACGGGUGAGUAACGCGUGAGGAACCUGCCUUUCAGUGGGGGACAACAGUUGGAAACGACUGCUAAUACCGCAUAAUGUUAUCGGAUCGCAUGGUCUGAUAACCAAAGAUUUAUUGCUGAAAGAUGGCCUCGCGUCUGAUUAGAUAGUUGGUGGGGUAACGGCCUACCAAGUCGACGAUCAGUAGCCGGACUGAGAGGUUGAACGGCCACAUUGGGACUGAGAUACGGCCCAG